CCUUCCCCUUUGGACUUUCAAUUGGAUAUGAGAAUAUAAGCAACUUUAUAUUGCAAGUUGUCCAAACAUGCUUGUUUUCCAGGAUAUACAAGUUUUUUCUUCUAAGUUUCCGGUAUUUUACUUGCUUGAUCAGGCCAGAUUAUUGAAGAACUUGAGCACAGGAUUGUAAUGAUCGAAUCUUCAUUAAGCAGGUUUGGAAUGAUGUUGGAUUCUGUUCAGAGUAACAUCAUCCAAGUCAAUGAAGGAACAAACGAAUUGGUGUUUGAGGAUAAGCAUUCAAUUCUACUACCUCCUUGUGUUUCUGUAUUUUGUGCGGACCAGAUCCAUGGAGCUUUACAUGUUCUUUAACUUUCAUUUUUAUGACUUUUAUUACCUGUUGAUGACUAAAACAUUCAGCUGCCCAAACUUCUUCUUCACUUUUCAGGCACUUAAUUCAAUCAAUUACCAGCAAAAAGAAACACUACAGAAUUUUCUUGAGAGGGGUAAAGAGUUCAGAGCUUCAUCACGGCGUUAUGUCCUUUUUUUAGCAUAGGUAAUGUUUUAUUUGGAUUGUUACAAGUUUUUGCAGAGGUCACUUAUUGCCAGCUUGUCAACUGCAAAUCGCUAUAAAUCUGAACAUUUGAAGAGACCAGAAAAUUGUGCCAUGGCCUAAGACUUUGCUUUGGUCGAGCCAAUGAAUUCCCUCUGCCACUAGCUUAUAAAAUGAAGCCACCCACGUUAUCCUUGCUACGCUACAUCAAAGGCUGGUGUGAAAGACUUCCUCGCUUCAUUCUAAACCAAUAUCAGGGACGUGGGGGACUCCAGUUAGAACAAAAAAAUAUCGAAGAUGAAGAGUAAAGUUAAGCCUUUGCUGCUAUCAGAACAAUUCACUGCAGAUGGACGCGGAGUACGCUUCCACUAUAGGUAUUGGUGGAGCUUUUGUAAUGUAAGUUGUAGUUAGGCUGCAUUGAAGAAUUAAUCUGUUCCGUUGGUAUCUGGGCAGUUGAAAAUGUUUGGCCUGUAAGAAAAUGUUCUCUAUUGCUGUACUUUUCCUCCAUCUGCUGACAAUCUACUAUCAAAAGGAGAUGAUGAGUGUGUAUGUAUGCAAGUUUUCUGCAGGAGGAAUUAGGUGUGAUGUCAAAAGCUCUGAAUCCACUUGAAAUUGAUCAAAACAUGCUUCAGGGAUAACGAGAAAGCAUAUUUUCAGGCUCCUUUUCCAUCAUUUAUGUCUUCAUUGGUCUUGAUUCUCCAUCUUUUGUACUUCUUACGUUCAGGUUUUAAUAAACUCUACUUGAGUUAGUUGGCCUGCUUAAUAUUGCAAAAUGACUGCUUUGCUGCUCCA